UACGUAGGGGGCAAGCGUUGUCCGGAAUCAUUGGGCGUAAAGAGCGUGUAGGCGGCCUUAUAAGUCGGCUGUGAAAGUCAAGGGCUCAACCCUUGAAUGCCGGCCGAUACUGUGAGGCUAGAGUCCGGAAGAGGCGAGUGGGAAUUCCUGGUGUAGCGGUGAAAUGCGCAGAUAUCAGGAGGAACACCGAUGGCGAAGGCAGCUCGCUGGGACGGUACUGACGCUGAGACGACGAAAGCGUGGGGAGCGAACAGG
rnacentral:rRNA from 1 species